rnacentral:RNase_P_RNA from 1 species
AGAGGGGUGGUCAGUCGCUUGCCGACGCACGUGCGGCAAGAGGAAAGUCCGGGCAGCAAAGGGCACCAUGGUUCCUAACGGAAACCCGUUGGCAACAGCGGAGAAGUGUGACAGAAAACAACCGCCGGUUUUCCGGUAAGGGUGAAAAGGCGAGGUAAGAGCUCACCGGGCCGCACAGCGAUAUGCGGUGCCGCAUACCUCAUGGGCUGCAAGGUCAAGUAUACCGGCAUUUAAGGACGGCCCGUCCAUUGCCGGGGGGUAGACUGCUCGAGCGCGGAGGCAACUCCGCGCCUAGAUAAAUGACUGACAGCCGGCCGUUCCAGGCCGGCCACAUAACCCGGCUUACAUCCCCUCUCUU